UGUGGCUAAUCACUUUUUAUUUGUAGUUUACCUGAGUGUCAUUGCACUUUUCAGGAGUUAAGGCAGAUGUGGAGGCACAACGUGUGAUACCAGACACACACCAAGCACAUUAUGUUCGGACAUUCAAUCAUGACAUGAUCCAUGUGGAUGCUGUCCAUUGAGGAAAGAGUUUGUUCAGCGGUUUCUGGAUAGAAUUAAUUCCAAAGAUGGGAAAAAGUGCACAUCCAGACAAGGAGCAAGCAAAAAGACAAGGAACUUGGUGCAGAGAAAAGCUGUGGCCAUUAACCCCCAUGUGAACAGCUUCAUGCAGUCCCUGAUUGAGUUCGAAUGGACGACUUCAAAGUAAAGGCCACUGUGGUCUGUCUGCCACAGUUUAAUGCAUUUAUUUUUAGU